UGGAUUCGCUAGUAAUCGCGCAUCAGCCACGGCGCGGUGAAUACGUUCCCGGGCCUUGUACACACCGCCCGUCAAGCCAUGGGAGUCGGGAGUGCCUGAAGUGCGUGAGCGCGAGCAGCCGCCCGUAGGGACCAAAACCGAUGACUGGGGCUAAGUCGUAACAAGGUAUC
rnacentral:rRNA from 1 species